UCCUCCAAUGGGAGUCUGGAGCCGUCGGUAGCGGUGGAGGCCUGCGACCCCGCUAGCGCUCCAGCAAGCGGGAGGGACGCGUCCAGUCUAUUCGCGAGAUCCAGCUGCCGGUCCCUGGAGUCUAUUCGUGCGAGGCAGCGGCUGCACCGACGGCCCGAGGUUCCCGGUCAGCGGGUUGCGGAGUAUCGUGCGGGUAGCAAGGGGAGGGCGAGUGCUCCUGCGGCCCCCAGACGGCAACCAGUUGGCUGGGAUGGAGAUGACAAUAGUACAAUGGCGACCACGUUUUGAAGAUGGCAGACCAUCUACACAGAAGGUGCCUAGGACCCUGAAUCACCACUUAGAAGAGGGCAGCCCAUCUAUUAACAACUGUUUUGGAAGAUUGCAGGAGAACCUGCAGCCAAUGUAAUUGUGCCUUGGGGACAGGGAAAUACCCAGACCUUUUGAAAUAGACUGGAUACUGGUUCUGAGUUAAUCCCCUGUGACCUAGACAUCACUAUGGUCCACCAGUCAGAGAGGGAUAAAGUCAUACGUGAAGAGUCAGCCUGAGUCCUUCUCAUAUUGGGCCCAGGGGAUCGCAAAUCCCAUCCUGUGGUUUGCUGGUUCCUGGACACAUUAUGGGAAUACACAUGGUAUAGAUGGCAUAAAGGGUAGGAGAGCUACAUAUGAAGAACAAAGUAGUGAGUGGAAAGAUCAGACUGAGGAUCUCUUCUGGAAAUCAACAGGUAAGAAUAAAGAGAUAUAAAAUAUUUUUUAAAAAACUAAAGACACGGGGGGUAAUAUUAGAAGUGGCCACAUUGUGAUAAUAGGAAUCCCAGACACAGAGAAAGAUAAAAAUGGAAAAACGGAUCUAUUUUGUGAAUGAAUGCCUGGACAGAGGACACCAUGUGACCUGUGCAAGCUGAGCUGCCAUGGCAACAUGUGUUAACGGUCCCAUCAAGCCAUGAGGUUGUCUAUGUGCAGCAGCGCUCUGCCACCAAAUAGAGUAAGCUGCCUGAGCAGGUGGCUCAUACUCCCACUGGCUGCACUGCCGCCCCUUUCUCACACCUGAGUCUCAUGGGGCGUUCCCUGUGACCAGGUGACUCAGAGGCACAAUAUUCAAGCUUGGUUCACAGAUGGUUUUGCAUAAUAUGCUGGCACCAGCUGGACAUGUCUAGCUGCAGUGUGAUAGCCCCACUUAGGGUUGAUCCUGGGGACAAUGGGAAGGGGAAUUCUCACUGCCUGGUUGCAUAGAUGGUUAGAGGUGUAGAUACCACUGAUCCGUGAGUAGUUAGUUAGUAAUGAUUUGGCUAGGUGGUCAAGGACUUGGAAAGAAUAGGAUUGAAAUAUUGUUCAAGGAGGAGGUCUGGGGAAGAGGCAUAUGGAUGUCCCUUUUGGAAUGGGCACAGAGUGUGAAGAUAGUCACAUCCCACAUAAAUGAGCACCAGAGAGCAUCCACUAUGGAGAAAGAUCUCAAUGAGUUGGACAAGAUGUUCUGUCCUGUGGAUGUCAGCCAACCUCAGUUCCUUACCCAAUGGACUCCUGAACAAAAUGGCCAUGGCAGCAUGCGUGGAGUUUAGGCACGGGCUCUAUAAUACAGACUUUCACCAAGGCCAGUCUGGCUAUAACAACUGCUGAGUGCCCAACCUACCGACAGCAGAGGCACACCAAGCCCCGCUAUUGGAACCAUUUGUCAGUGGCAACUGAUUACAGAGACAGUACAAAAUGAAAAGAAACCAUUGGACCCCCAACAUUUUACUGGCAGGAAGCAGACUGGGGAAACUACUCAGCCGCAAAUAUGUGAUAACUUUCAUGAAAAAGGAAGAAAGGCACAGAGGAUGGGACCAAGAGCCCAGAAGGCAGAGCUAAGAGCCAUGGAGAAUUAUUCCCAGGCCUUGAAACCUAAUCCAGGAACUUCCAUGUGCCCAGCGGGAUUUCACAAUUGCUAUAGACCAGUGACUCCUUUGUGUCUCCCAUUUCCCCCGUUUUUUAAAUGGAAUGGGACUUCCCUGGUGGCGCAGUGGUUAAGAAUCUGCCUGCCAAUGCAGGGGACACAGGUUCGAUCCCUGGUCUGUGAAGAUCCCACGUGCCACAGAGCAGCUAAGCCCGUGCACCACAACUACUGAGCCUGUGCUCUAGAGCCCGUGAGCCACAACUACUGAGCGUGUGCACUGCAACUACUGAGCCCAUGCGCCGCAGCUACUGAAGCCUGCACGCCUAGAGCCCGUGCUCUGCAACAAGAGAAGCCACCACAAUGAGAAGCCCACACACCGCAACGAAGAGUAGCCCCCGCUCUCCACAACUAGAGAAAGCCUGCGCAUAGCAAAAAAGACCCAACACAGCCAAAAAUAAAUAAAAUUAAGAAAAAAAAAAAGAAAUGGAAUGUCCAUAGCAGUAUCCUGUGUCUGUUGCACCAUCGUAUGUUGGGUGUGUUGGGGACAGAUAACUUGUCUCUUAAGUUUCACAGAUCUACUGGUGGAAAACAAAUAGAACUUAAGGAGCCAUACUUAAGGAAUACACUGAAGGAGUCUCAU